rnacentral:tRNA from 1 species
CAGAAGAUAGUUUAACGAGAGAAUCCUAGCUUUGGGGGCUAGGGGUAGGGGUUCAAGCCCCCUUUUUCUGA